GACGAACGCUGGCGGCGUGCUUAACACAUGCAAGUCGAACGGAAAGGCCUGCUUUCCCUUGUGGAUUGCGGGUACUCGAGUGGCGAACGGGUGAGUAACACGUGAGUGAUCUGCCCCCAACUUGGGUAUAAGCCUGGGAAACUGGGUCUAAUUCCCGAUAGGACUGCAGGGUGGUGCCUGUGGUGGAAAACGAUUUUCUAGUGGUUGGGGAUGAGCUCGCGGCCUAUCAGCUUGUUGGUGGGGUAAUGGCCUACCAAGGCGGCGACGGGUAGCCGGCCUGGGAGGGUGGACGGCCACAUUGAGACUGGGAUACGGCCCAGACUCCUACGGGAGGCAGCGGUGGGGAAGAUUGGACAGUGGGCGGAAGCCUGAUGCAGCGACGCCGCGUGGGGGAUGACGGCCUUCGGGUUGUAAGCUCCUUGCGACCGCGAGGAAGCCACCUGGUUGGAAGGGUGGUGACGGUAGUGGUAGAAGAAGCACCGGCUAACUACGUG
rnacentral:rRNA from 1 species